rnacentral:rRNA from 1 species
CCUACGUGGGCAGCAGUAGGGAAUAUUGCUGCAUGGGGGAAACCCUGAAGCAGCAACGCCGCGUGGAGGAUGAAGGGUUUAGGAUUUUAAAAUCCUUUUGUUAGAGAAGAUUAAGACUGUAACUUAAGAAUUAGCACCGGCUAAAUUCGUGCCAGCAGCCGCGGUUAUACGGAGGGUUCAAGCGUUACUCCGACUUAACGGGCUGAAGAAGUGCGGAAGCGGGGUAAUAAGUCAGAUGUGAAAUCCUUGAGGUUAACUACAGAACUGCAUUUGAAACUGGUACUCUGGAGUUUGGGAGAGGUAGGUGGAAUGCUUGGUGUAGCGGUAAAAUCCGUAGAGAUCAAGAGGAAUACUCAUUGCGAAGGCGACCUGCUGGAACAUUACUGACGCUGAUGCACGAAAGCGUGGGGAGCAAACAGGAUUAGAUACCCCUGUAGUC